rnacentral:rRNA from 1 species
CCUACGGGAGGCAGCAGUGAGGAAUAUUGCUCAAUGGGCGAUAGCCUGAUCCAGCCACGCCGCGUGAGUGAAGACGUACUUCUUUACUUUAAGCUCUUUCAGCAGGGAAGAAAAUUACGGUAUCUGAGUAAGAAGCCCCGGCUAAAUACGUGCCCGAAGCCGCGGUACUACGGAGGGGGCAAGCGUUAUCCGGAUUUACUGGGUGUAAAGGGAGCGUAGACGGUUCGCCAAGUCUGGAGUGAAACUGCGCAGCUUAACUGCGGAACUGCAGUGGAAACUGGCGAACUAGAGUGCGGGAGGGGUAGGCGGAAUUCGUGGUGUAGCGGUGAAAUGCGUAGAUAUUAGGAGGAACACCGGUGGCGAAGGCAGCUUACUGGACCGUAACUGACGUUGAGGCUCGAAAGCGUGGGGAGCAAACAGGAUUAGAUACCCUUGUAGUC